rfam:Pluralibacter gergoviae strain JS81F13 contig_2, whole genome shotgun sequence.
AGGGAAGGGGGCAGAAUACGCGCCAGCAAAAAAUGAGACUAACCGACGCUGUUCAAAAGGCGCCGGUUAUUUUUUUGC